rnacentral:lncRNA from 1 species
AAUUUUCUCUCUAUAGCUCUAGUUUUCAUACCUUUGAAACAUUUUGAUUAGAACUCAAGUAUUCUUUCACUCUCUCAUUUCAAAACCCUUGAUAAAGCUUAUUUCCAGACUUUCUCUCACUAGUUGGGCAUUCUAGAGAGAGAAAGAGAGAAUUACCCUAUUGAUUUGGAAGCUAUUGGAAGAGAAUUCAACUACAAAGAAACCCAAGGGUGAGUGAUGAACUAAAUUCAGUUUUUAGUUAUGAAUAAUGACUAGUAAUUUAGAUUAAGAAUUGUUUUAUUGUUGAGUAUGUUCAUUACUUUUUUAGUGAUUAAGAUAGUGAACAUAGAUAGUCAUUUAAUGUGGCAAUUGAAAGCUAGCUAAGAGAUACCUUUUAGGGUUCAUAGUGUGUGAAUUGACCUAUUGUUUAUGCUAAUGUGAUCCUAGGUUCUAAUGAAGUCCCAUCCUUCCAAUUGGAUCAUUAGGGGAAUUAGAGUUAACUAAAGGCUCAACAAUAAAUCGGUGAAUGGACUGCCUUCAAAACUUGUUUUGGGAAUAUAAUGUAUUUGCCAAACAUUUGAAUGAAUUAUCAAGCUUUUCAUGAAAACAAGUGCCUUGGGAACAAGCUUUUGAUAGAUUGACUCCAUGUUGUGACAUGUGACUAUUAUUGAUUCAUGCACUACCACAUUGUGUUGAUAUAUAUAUGUAUGUGAAUAAAUUGUUGUUUAAUGACAUUGACUCGGCUAUGUGCGAGUAGGGAGUGCGCAUAAGCCAAGGAUGACCCGGUUAUGUGUGAGUAGGGAGUGCGCAUAACCCGGUGAUGACCCAGCCAUGUGCGAGUAGGGAGUGUUCAUGAGCUGGUGAUGAUGAUGAUGGGAUGGCGUGCAUGAUGAUGAUGGGUAUACGUAUACAUAUAUACAUAUGUAAAUAUGUGUGAUAUAGGAAAUUAAUGAGUAAUGGUAUAUGGUUGUAAUGCAUGUGAAACUUGACAUGUUAAACUGUGGAAAAUUGUUAUGCGUUUCAUGUUGGUUUGGACAUUCAGCAGGGUGGUUUUCCUUUGGGAAGAAGGGCAUAUUUUUCAUUGGUGCCAUGUUUCUCGUUGCAACGAGAAUCAUUUUUGCUGCAACGAGAAACUCUCGGGUUUGGAGGGGUAGACUGGUCGAAAACUCGCUGCAGCGAGUAUGCAUUUUCGCUGCAGCGAGAAUGACACUGUAGCUUUUCAUUGCAGCGAAAUUCAUUCUCGCUGUAGCGAGAAACUUUCUAUUUUCUAGGUUGCAAUUUUGCUGCAGCGAGAAAUUUUCUGUUUUUGGGUUACAAUUUCGCUGCAGCGAGAUUCAAUCUCACUACAGCAAAAAACUUUCUGUUUUGUCUCUUAUCUUGUCCAAUUGCUGCCCUAUUUUUCACUUAUUUGCUACCAUAUCUGAGCAUGGACUUUCAACAUUAAGGACUACAUGAGUUAAGUUUAAAAUGAGGAGGUUUAGUGAGAAACCCUCGGCCAGUUGAGAAACCCUCUUUUGGCUAAUAACUAAAUCCCAACGUCGCUGCAGCGAGAAUGCCUUUUCGCUGCAGCGAAGAUUCGUUGUUGUAUUUGACUUGCUUUCGUAUCAUUGAGGCUUUCAUUCUACAAAUGGUUCGUUAUGUAUGAGUUCAUGAUUUCCAAAUGAUUAAUCAUUUAAGGGCUUGAUGAAAGGUUUUUAAUAUGAAUGGAACUAAAUUGCAUUGUUUUAAAACAAGUGCAUCAUUAUUUUAAAUUCUCCUUAAUUGUUGCUUGUUCUUUUCCUUGUUCACUCACUAGGUUUAUACUCACCAUUUUCAAAUUCAUGUUUUCAGAUCACAAGGCAGUCGGUAACUAGGACGCGGUGUCCUUGUAGACUUGUGUCCAUAUUUUGGUAGAUGUCUCGGCAUUCAGUAGCUGUACAUUCGUUCGAGUCCCUCCGCUGGAAGUCGAGUAUUAUUUUGUGGUAUAUAGACGAACCUAAUGUAAAUUGUUAAGAUGUAUGUUGUAG